rnacentral:rRNA from 1 species
AUUGAACGCUGGCGGCAUGCUUUACACAUGCAAGUCGAACGGUAACAGGGUGCUUGCACCGCUGACGAGUGGCGAACGGGUGAGUAAUGUAUCGGAACGUACCGUGUAAUGGGGGAUAACGCAUCGAAAGGUGUGCUAAUACCGCAUACGCCCUGAGGGGGAAAGUGGGGGACCGAAAGGCCUCACGUUAUACGAGCGGCCGAUAUCUGAUUAGCUAGUUGGUGAGGUAAAGGCUCACCAAGGCGACGAUCAGUAGCGGGUCUGAGAGGAUGAUCGGCCACACUGGGACUGAGACACGGCCCAGACUCCUACGGGAGGCAGCAGUGGGGAAUUUUGGACAAUGGGGGCAACCCUGAUCCAGCCAUGCCGCGUGAGUGAGGAAGGCCUUCGGGUUGUAAAGCUCUUUUGUUUGGGAGCAAGGCCUGAGCAUUAAUACUGCUUGGGAUUGAGAGUACCAAAAGAAUAAGCACCGGCUAACUACGUGCCAGCCGCCGCCGUAA